GUGGACUGCGCGCCGGCUCAACAGAAUUCGAUACAACAUAGAAUCGGAGAGAGCAGAAGCAAACCGAAGCUCGAGAUGGCCAUGGAGAGGGGACGGUCUUGUCGGAGAUGCGCGGCAGAGCUUUCAGUAGGAAUAGGAGAGACUUUCCGGCGGAGUUUGCACCGAACCGGAACGGGAUUAAGUUGUAUGUAGGCAAUAGACGUGGGUGGCCAGGGUUCGAGCUUGAAUCGGCAGCAAAGGAGGAACGGCGGGCUACUGGAACUGAUUGCGAAUGAUAUCCGGGUCGGGUGGGUGCUGGGUGGUCCGGCCGUUCGUAGCCCUCUGGGCCCUUUUUUGUAGCUAGUUAAGGCUGCAUCCAUAGCUGGGACCUGAGUUCAUGUGACCUUUGCUUUCUUGCAAGUCCUCCUAUACAUUUCAGGCUUGGAUAGGGCGCUGCAGUCGGAAGCCAAAAGCGCAGAUAUUUUAGUUCUUGCAAGGAUUGCAAAUUGUCUGUUGUUAUUACGAUUUCAUUUCUCUUGCUCAACAAUAUAAUUUCUUCAGUACUAUAAGUUUUUAUUUUUUUUAAUAUAAUUUUCAUUAGGCUUUUUA